rnacentral:lncRNA from 1 species
CCCUCCCGCACACGCCGCGGCACUCGGCGGCGAGCGGCGGCUCAGCCAUGUGCCCGUGCGCGCUGCGCGGGGCCGGGGCCCGAGCUGGGCCGGCCGCCGCCUGGCCGCCGCCGUAUGCCUGCUGUGCGCCCUCACGCCCGCGGUCGCGCUGGCCUGGCUGAUCCGCAAGAGGAGCCUCUAGGCGAGACGGGCGCUGGCCGGAGCGGGGAGCAGGCGGGACGCGCAACAGGCUGGAGAAAACCCUGUGCCCUUGGAGAAAAUUGUUUCCCCUCUUCCUACAGGGAAUCCAGAGCCUGAGCAGCAGCUGUGAAGAGUGGAGAUAAAGAAAGAAGUGGAAGAUGUUGGAAGAGCUUUGGGCAACGUGAAGAAGGAUUUGCACUGAAGGAGCUGUUCAAGGGCCCAGCCGCAAAACAGAGACACAUACAUGCUUAUAUAUAGAAGAAUGUAAACCCUCCUGUAUGCAUACGUUAAAACGUGCAUGCCUUGUUGAGAACGUAAGCAACAUUCCUUGUAGAUGAUGGUGGUAUGAGCAUUUGUGCUCCUGCAGUCUGAGUCAAGAGAUUAGUGAUGUCCCUGCUGUGAUGCUAGCGUUGUCUCCCCUGCACCUUGUCUAUGGUGGCAUAAGUGUCCCUUUCGAUGCAGCAAGCAAGAGAAAGUAGAUACACAUCUGGAGGUAAAUAAUAUCUGCUGCAACGUGGGCAUGUUGUAACCGUGGCGGUGGGGGAAGAGGUGCUGAGCAGCUCGGACAGCAGACAGUUUGUGUGUGUAUAUAUUAAGCUCUAUAGCACCAGGUGAGAUAAGCUUUUCUUACGGUUUUUGUUUCUCUGGUGCUACAUUUACUAUUUGUCUGGGGCUUGAUUGCCUCUCUGUGGUGCUACAGUUUCCCCAAGAGGAUGUUCUGAAACAUGGGACAAGGAGAAAUCUAUUUUGGUUAUUGAUAUUUAUACACAAAAGAGCAAAAAAUACUACUUGUUGAGAAGGUGCUAUUUUUUUUUUCUUUCUUUCAGCCUCUGCGUAAACGAAGGCAAAACAAACCAUCCCGCUCAGAGCUGUACAGAACUGAUUUUCUUUGGGGCAGCUCUUUCUCUUGGCGCGGUUCUGAGCUUGGGAAGCAGCGUUCACGGAGGUGGUGAGGACACAGCAGCUCCUGUCACAGCUGUGUCCACAUCAAAGUCUGCUACUGCAGAACCUCCCGGAUGGGGGUGUAGGCAGUCCUCAACUCCUGUGAUCCAGGGAAAAGAGUUACAUCUGGGCUCAGCAGGAGACUCGUUGGCAGUGAUCCUUACGCACAUUUUUUAGAAACAUUUUUCCCAGCUUUGGAUAUUUGCAGCACAAAAUUGACCUUCACGUGGCAGGGGGGACUUCCAAAGGCAUACAGGGAUGUUAUAGGAGUUCAGUUUCUAAAGUAGGUUCCUUGUCUUUUAAAGACACUUCCUAACCUGCAACCAAUCAAGGAGCAAACUGCUCCAUCCCUGUCAGACUUUCGGUUUGUCGCUACUGCAGGAGAAAUGUUUCUAAGCAAUCUAAAAGCUAAAUUGUCUCUUUAUCAAAUAUUCACCAAUGUGUUUUGGGCACCUGCACACAUAUUCAUGGGGAAUAUUGAUCCGAGUCAGUUCCCAAACAGCAGAAGGGCUACGCUGAAAGCGCAAAUUGUUCCUAAUGAGUAACCUUGCCCUACUUUAUAUCAUGUGCAGUGGUGGGAGGGAUCAUGUAGCUAAGUGUAUUUUGUCUGUGGGUAGAGUGUGGAUGGCCUCAGAGCCGCAGGGAUUAGCCACCCAUCAAACACUGUUCUGCCACUUGUGGCCUGAUGCAUCCCACGUCCCUGCCCGGCUCAGUCUCCUACUGAUCUAAGUAAGAAUUCUUCUAGCAAAAGGAGGAGCCCCAGCUGAUUUCAGCAGUGCUGCAAGGAUUAGUGACUGCCGGAUCAGGUACAGCCUAAAAAACACAGUUUUCUGCAAAAAAGCCAGGGGAGCUGGCUUACACAUCUCAGUGCAAGACAGAGGGCUCUCCCACAUUCCCCUCACCCUAAACAGUUAUUACUAGCUCCUGAGAUCUGAAUGUUUAUAAUAAACUUCUAACCUGGAAUAUGCAUUAUUACUUUUUCCCUUCUCUCUCCUGUGCAGUUUGCACUGGGCUGCUUUCCCUUCCUUGCUGGCUCUCCCAGCCUGCAGCCUGGAGACUUGUAGCAUCCCUCCCAGGUGGCACUUCCCCUGAAACACUGCAGCACGGCAAAGGAAGGAGAAAGUUCUGUUCUUACCAUAUUGUUACUAUGGUAAGUGUACUGUGGUACACCUUGGGAAAGCCCCUUCAGUCAGUGACAGCCUAAGAGGGACUGCCUCACGUUCCUCAGUCUGAACUCACCACGGACAGGCUUUUCUGCAGAGCAGACAAACCAAACCACAAGCAAACCAACAGAAACAAAGUGGAUCUCCCAGGGGAUCUCUUCCCUGGUUGCUCCCAGCGCUCAGCCCCAAUGGCCGGAGAUGCAGUGCCUGCUGUUACCCUCCUGGGACAACAGCCAAACCCGUGGUGCUUCCCAGGCGUAGGCGAGAGCAGGAAUGGAACCCAGUCCUGUUUUCAUCCUGACUGACUUCACUUUUGUAGUUCUGAAUUGGGUGUUCAGUGUGAACCAAGGGUUAACUUUUAGAGAUGUUGAUCUAUUAGUUGCUGGUCAAGCAAGCUUUGUCAUGGAACAGCCUCCCAGCACCUUAUAGCCAGCACUCGCUGUACAGAAAUGGCAUUACUUAUUAGAGGGUAUCUAUUUGUCAAAGCCUUACGUUUUCUGGUAUAAUUGCUAUUCUUGAAUGCCUCCGUUUUUUGAAGAGGGGUGUUUUUAUCCUUUUUAAAAUGCCUGCUCUCAACCUGGUUGAUGUUUGUACUGGACAGGAAGGCACGCUGUGUGCUCCCCUACUGCCCUUCGUGCCGCAUCGCAGCGGCUGCGUGAGCUGCUACUGAUGGGAAGGAAACCAGCACAGUUCCUCUCUCUCCCACUCGCUCCUCUCCUCUCUUUGUUUUUUUACAGCAGCCAAGAAGUCAUUGAUUUUGAUUAGCUCUGCAGUUGUGCCUCCACGAAGACUGGGGAGUGCUCUCUAAAGGCAAAAAAAAAAAGCCCUCAUCUUGGGUUUCAGCAGCCGGCGCGUGCGAAGCCGGAGGAGGAGGAGGUUAUGAGAUCAUAGUCUAUAUAGAACGCCGCAUAAUGUGGCUGUGAGAAAAGUCUUUAUUAAUUUUUAAAGCUGCACUCCAGCAAAGCAGCUCCCGACACAUAGCAGGAUUUCACAGUUCAAGUUAAAGCAGCCGUGCAGUGCAGACUGCUCAUCAGCUGCCCUCCCCGCCUGGUAAACUCACUUGGCCGCACGGAUUCUGCUGACAGACAGCUGUGUUACACCCAGGACAGAACCGAGCCCAUCCAGAUUCCUCCUGAGAAUGACUGUAGGUAGGUAAGGAAAUAGGGAAUGGGAGCUCCACCCCUGCAGUGUGCAGGACGGCAGUGCCUGCUGUCUCGUGCCCGGGACAAAUGCCACCCAAUAGCAGUGCAGAGCAGAUCAGCCAUCGGCGAGCUGACAGCCACGGGGAGUGAGAAACCCAUCCUGCUUCUGCUUCAGCGCAUGUUGGCAUGCAGGAAUGAUCCCAGUUUAGCCCAGCCCAUUACUCAAGCAAUUGUCUUAAAUCAGAAACACUUGUUAGAUCAGCUUAAUCCGAUCUGCGGAGUCGUUUAGUUUCCAUAUCGUGCUAAAAUUAUACGAGGCUUAACUGCGCCGCAGAAGCAGCAGCAGCAGCACUCUUUCUGCUGAAAGUGAUUGGAAACAUCUGGUGUCAGCUGGUUGCUGUGUCUGCAGGCACUGAGGAGCCAGGCCUGUCCCUGCCAUGCUAGCACAGAGCCACGCACUCAGGCUGCUGUGGCCACAGCCCUCGUGGGCAGAGCAGGAGAGCAGCACCCGCCAUGGGGCAGUGCGGGAAGGGGAUGCGAACCCAAAGGAGAUCCUUCCCUUCUGCACGCCGUGUCACUGCACACAACGGCUAUGGUCAGACGGCACAACACAUCUCCCUUCGUAUGUAUUUCUCAUUUUCCUACACGUUGUUUUAAGACAGCUGUCCUAAUCUCAACAGAAGGCUGAGUUAUAUAUAGCCAACUACCUAUGGCUCCAAAUGGGCGCCUGUCAGUUUGCAGGCUCUGUUCUGCCUCCACCGCAGGCUGAGCGGUGUCCUCACAGCUCUUCUUAGGGCAGAUCUGAUUUGGAAUCGAAGCUGCACAGUUCAGUCCCCUAGCUCACUGCUCUCUGUAUGCUGAGCUAAACUGCCUCUCGUCUCCUUACAAAUAUUAGGAGGCACCGGCACGUGCACUCAGAAUCCGAGGGCUGAGGCGAGUCUGAAUCAAACAGGACUUCAUCUUCUCUAGGAAAACCCUUGUCUGAAUGGCGGAGAGGCAUCUGCCUUCCCCCCGGAAUCUGCCCUGCUCUGACCACACAAGCCCUUUACAUUCAGUGUUCAGCACAGCUUUAUUGCUGCCCCACCAUAAGGCGUUAGAGCUUCUCCCCCGCCUGUCCUCCCGGCUGGAGUCCCACUCCGGCUGCACGCAGCCAUUCUCCAUCAGGACGCACUCCCAGACGUGGCUCUUCUUUCAGUACUUCAAUUUCCCAGGGUUUGCAGUGUUUACAGAAUGUGACUUUGGAGCUUGACAGACACCGAUGGUGUCUGUGCCUGGAACUGUUGGUCUCCUCCCAUUAGUGGUUACAGCUGCCACAGAACUGCACCGGGCGCUGUGUCUGGGGAUGUUCACAGCACGGCCUUUCCAAUCACUCCAGUUUGGCAAAAGAAAUCUCCCCCUUAACUCCAAUCCUUGGGACAUUUGAUGAGUGGCCGGUCUGCUCCUGGAUGCAUUUCUAACCGAACAAAAGAGAUGAGAUGCACGGAGUACACAGUUCCUUGCGCAGGUCUGGUUGGCACGGCUCACAUGUAAGCUCUUGCAGAGGCACUGUGCAAGUUUCCACCCUCAGAAAAGCAAGAGCAAAGUGUACGCCUGCUGGUGAUACAGAUUCACAAAGUCUCCUGUUUGUAGUUGGAUGUGGCUUCUCUCUUUUGUAAAAGGAAUUUCAUAUGCUGAGACUCUUUGUACAUAUUUAUAAUGACUUUAUUAAAAAAAAAAGAAAAACUACUGUUCAAUGGCAAAA